UACAGAGGGUGCGAGCGUUGUCCGGAAUUACUGGGCGUAAAGAGCUCGUAGGCGGCUUGGCAAGUCGGGUGUGAAAACUCCAGGCUCAACCUGGAGACGCCACUCGAGACUGCUAUGGCUAGAGUCCGGUAGGGGACCACGGAAUUCCUGGUGUAGCGGUGAAAUGCGCAGAUAUCAGGAGGAACACCGGUGGCGAAGGCGGUGGUCUGGGCCGGCACUGACGCUGAGGAGCGAAAGCGUGGGGAGCAAACAGG
rnacentral:rRNA from 1 species